UUCUAUUUUUAUAGAUAGGGUAACUCAAGGCCUAAAGAAGUUAAUAACUUGCUCAAGAUACAUUGCUAAUUAGCGCCAGACGUGGGAAUUUCCUUCAAGCCAGUGAGGAGUCUCAUUUCUCUUCCAUCAUUCCGGGAAAUUAAAGUUUAUUAUACUGAAUUUGGUUCAACCAUGCUAGCAUAGCCUUCCAUUAUGGAUAAUAGGGAAUUGACUGCAUUAGGUUAAAUGUUCUACCACAAUAGCAGUAGUAGUACCAUUCGUUUUAUACAAAGUUUGAAAACAAUUACCAACAUUUGCUAUCUGACUUGUCUUCCCUCCAUCCCCCAAAACCUUACAAGAUACAUAGAAUACAGAAAGGGGUUUGUGCCACAGGAUGUGAAAGGACUUGUCAGAACUGAAUAUUGACUUUUGCCCAAGUUACCUUGUAUAUAGCUGACUCUGAUAUGAAAAGUCAUUAUUGCUGCAUCAUAUGACUUAAGCAAACACCAGACCUGGAGUCAAAGUGCUAGUGUCUAACUGUAAUGUGUACAGAAUGGCCAUUUUCUCCCUUGAUGGGCAAAGAAGGUAUGUAAGUUAUCAAUUACAUAACAAACCACUGCAAAACUUAAUGGCUUAAAUUUUUAAAAAUUCUUUUCAAAGAGAUUCUAUGAAUUGACUGUUUCUUCUGCUACCACCUAGAGUCACAUGGAACAGCAUUCAUCUGAUGACAGAAGAACGAAAUGACUGAGAUAGCCAAAGGUAAUCAGAACUAUCUAGAAAAUAGCCAAGAACAAGGAAGGAAGCAAAACAACAACAGAGGGUUCUGGUUCAAGAUGACAACAUAGGAAAACCCUGAUCUCACUUCUUCUCACACACUGAGUCUACAGCUACCUACAGAACAAUUUUCUCUUAAAAAAACCUAAAGACUGGCUAAGUGAUGACCACAUCAGGCAAACAAGAGGAAAACCACCUCAAACUGGGCGGGAGGCUGGGAUACAAUCUUGCCAUAAACCCCAUCCCCAGCACAGUGGCACACAACCCAGAGAAAACUCAAAACCUGAAGCUUCUCCCUGAGGAGCAAAGGGUUUUAUUUCCACAUCAGUAACCUCAACUUUUAGGACCUGCACCAGAGAGAUGACCCCCAACAUCUUUGAAAACUAAGAGGACCCACAAGACUGUAGUAAUCUGGGAGACAUUUCUUAAAGGGCCCAUGCACUGAGAAGAGCACCAGGGCUCAGCUCAUCCAUCAGCCAAUCACACCCAGACUUAAAGUGAAAGAGGCUGGAAGAUCAGGAACAAGACAAGGAUGACCACUAUCACCACUUUUAUUCAACAUAGUAUUGGAAGUCCUAGCCACGGCAAUGAGACAAGAAAUAGAAACAAAAGGAAUCCAAAUUGAAGAAGUAAAGCUGUCAUUGUUUGCAGAUGACAUGAUACCAUACAUAGAAAAUCCUAAAGACACCACUGGAAAACUACUAGAACUCAUCAAUGAAUACAGUAAAGUUGUAUAAUACAAAAUUAAUAUACAAAAAUUUGUUGCAUUUCAAUACACUAACAACAAACUAUCAGAGAAAAUAAGAAAACAAUCCCAUUUACAAUCACAUGCAAAGAAUGAAAUACCUAGGAUAAAAUCUAAGGAGGUAAAAUGACUACUCGGAAAACUAUAAGAAAUUAAUGAAAAAAAUUGAAGACAAUACAAACAAAUGGAAAGAUAUACCAUGCUCAUGGAUUGGAAAAAUUAAUAUUGUUAAAAUGAACUUACUACCCAGGGCAGUCUACAGAUUCAGUGCAAUCCUUAUGAAAAUACCAAUAGCAUUUUUCACAGAACUAUAACAAAUAAUUCUGAAAUUUCCAUGGAAAUACAAAAGACCCUAAAUAUCCAAAGCAAUCUUGAGAGAGAACAAAGCUGGAAGUAUCACACUUCCUGAAUUCAAACUAUACUACAAAACUACAGUAGUGAAAAACCCACAUUUAUACAGAAAUUAACCUACAACAAAGGAGGCAAGAAAAUACAAUGGGGAACAGAUAACCUUUUUGGUAAAUUGUGUCGGGAAAACUGGACAGGAACAUAGAAAAGAAUCAAACAGGACAACUUUCUCACCCCUUAUGUAUAAAUAAACUCAUAAUGGAUUAAAGACUCAAAUGUAAGACCUGAAAUCAUAAAACAUCUAGAAGGAAACAGAGAGAGUGCAUUCUUUGACAUUCUUCUUAGCAAUAUAUUUUUGGAUAUGUCUCCUUUGGCAAAGGAAACAAAAGAAAACAUAAACAAAUGGAACCUAAUCAAACUAAAAAGGUUUUGCACAGUGGCAGAAACUAUUGACAAAGUGAAAAGGCCGCCUAAUGAAUGGGAACAGAUAUUUGCAAAUGAUAUAUCUGAUGAGGGGUUAAUAUCCGCAAUAUACAACUAAACAUGAAAAAAAAAAAGGAAAAAAACCCAAUAAGCUGAUUAAAACAUGGGCAGAGGACCUGAAGAGUUUCCAAAGAAGACAUAUAGAUGGCCAACAGGCACAUGAAAAGAUGCUCAACAUCACUAAUCAUUAGAGAAAUGCAAAUCAAAUAUACAAUGAGAUACGACCUCACAACUUUCAGAAUGGUUAUUAUCCAAAAGACAAGGAACAAUGAGUGUCAGCGAAGAUGUGGAGAAAAGGGAACCCUCAUGCACUGUUGGUAGGAAUGUAAAUUGGUGCAGCCACUAUGGAAAAUAGUAUGGAGAUUUAUCAAAAGCUAAAAGUAAAACUACCAUAUGAUCCAGCAAUUCCACACCUGGGUAUAUAUAAGAAGAAAAGGAAAACACUAAUUCAGAAGGCCAACAGCUGAAGUUUCUGUGGAAAUGCUAGAGGCCAGAAGAGAGUGGCAUCUGGCAUCAUAUAUUUAAAGUGUAGUAAACGUAAAUGAGUAUAAUCUAUAAAUAUAUUGAAUCACUGUGUUGUACACCUGAAAACAAUAUAAUAUUGUAAAUCAACUAUACUUCAGUUUAAAAAUAAGAAAAGAAAUUACGUUUUUUCUCGUGGUGAAUUCAGGCUGAGUUAAAUCAUACUUGUAUCUUUUUGAAUAUUCCUGGGUGCACUGAUUUUUAAAAAAAUCCUCCAGUAUUGCAUACAACACAUUUACACAGUGGUACAUUCUUCUUUUCUAAAUAUUAAUGUGUGUGUUAAUAUGAUCCACAAGAGGAUUAGUCAAGUGAGAUAAGCUGUUCAUGGUAACUUCCUUAUUUUGAGUUGAUUCAAUUUACAAGCAGUUCUAUGUAGAAAUGAUUUUUGAAAAGACAAGGAAAAGGAAGUAUGAAACAGUGAUGAUCAUGAUAGUGAUGCACUCUUCUGGAAAGAGCUAAAAAGAAGCUAAAGUCAGAAUUUUUUUAUAAAUCAAUUCUUUUGAGGUAUAGUCAGCAUACAAUAAAAUGCACAGAUUUAAGGAUGUGGCUUGAUGAGUUUUGACUUGUAAGCACCAUCCUGUCUUAGUCUGUUUGGACUGCUAUAAUAAAAUACCUUAGACUCGGUGUCUUAUAAACAAGAAUACUUAAUUUCUCACAGUUCUGAAGGCUAGUAAGUCCAAAAUCAAGGCACCAGCAGAUUUAGUGUCUGGUGAGAACCACUUCCUGGCUCAUAGAUGACUCCUUCUCACUGUAACCACACAGGGCAGAAGGGGUGAAGGAUCUCUCUGAGUCCUCUUCUAUAAAAGCACUAAUCACCUUCCAAAGACCCCACCUGCUAAUACCACCACCUUGGGGGUUAGGAUUUAAAACGUUCAUCUUGAGCACACCCCAAUCAAGAUUCAGAAGUUUCCCAUCACUCCAGAAACUUCCCUCCAUCCCUCCCUUCCCUCACAUCACAAAAACAGUGAUUUUAUUUCUGUUCCCCUAUAUUAUUUUUUGGACUAUUCCAGAACUUCAUACAAAUGAAGUCCUGUAUGAAGUUUCUUUGGUCUGAUUUCUUUCUAUCAUCAUAAUAUCUAUGAGAUAGAUACAUCCAUGUUCUUACACAUGUUGGAAACUUGUUCAGAUUUACUUAGGAUUAUCGUACUAAAUGAAUAUGCCAGUUUGCCAUUCAUCUAUUCAGUACUGGUUGUUUUUUUCCAGUCUGUGGAAUAAACUUGUGAAUAAUGCUGCUAUAAAUAUCCACAUACCACUGUGGGGAACGUCCUAUGGCUGGAAUCACUGAGAUGUAGAGCAAGUAUAAGUUUAACUUUAUUAGAAACUAUUAUUAUCCACCCUACCUUUUCUACUCGUGACACUAUUUAUUCUUUCAUUCCGUUAAUCACCCCCAACACAUUCCAUUUUUAUAAAGUAUGAGAGAAUCUGGUUCUUUCCUCAAAAUUCUUACACAAAGAAGCUUCCAUUCUCCUCUCCAUUUUGUAAUUUCUUAAUUACAAAUUGAAGCCUUGUCUCAUUUUGGUUUCAGGAAAAAUAUGUCAAUCACUGUCUUAAAAUUGCACGACACCCACUGAUUCUUCCCCUGUGACUUCUCCAAGAGGCCACGGGACCACUCAGCCCAAGCUAUACACUCCGUUUUUCCUAAUUUCUCCCAUGUUUCCUCCUCUCUAAGAGCCCUGUGCCAGGAUCCCCAGGAUCACUUAGCACAGCCCCUCCCCCUUAUGAAUACACCAUUGUUAUGUAAGAGCUUCCCUCUCCCUCCUCCACCUCUCUGGGGAUGCCCAGCCUCCAGCCUCUCUCUGCUCUCCUCAGGACUAGACUGCUUUUUAGGAGUUGCUGUUGCAGGGAUAGUCUUGCCUGCCUCCCGCUGGAGUGGAUUUCUUUGGUCACAGGCUUCUUCACUCAUGGGGCCUGCCUGGGCCCAGGCCCACCUGGCAGAUGAUCUCUGGCUGCCUCUGCUCUGACUACUCCUGUUUCCGACCUGCUGCUCCCAUGACCCCCCAGGUUGGCGCUUCACUUCCUCUGAAAUUGUGAUCCCCAGGAAGGUGUCCCACAGAGUGCGUGGAGCCACAACACAAGGCCAGCUCUCCUACAAGUUUCGCUUCAGUGGCCAAAGACACGUGCUUCACAUGAGAGUCAAGAAGAGCUUGCUGCCCAGGCAUUUUCCUGUUAAUCACCGAUAACGACCAAGGUGCCAUGCAGGAGGACUACCCUUUUAUCCCCCGAGACUGUUACUACUUUAGCUACCUGGAAGGGGUUCCUGGGUCCAUGGGCACACUGGACACCUGCUAUGGGGGUCUGCGUGGCAUGCUGCAGGUGGAUGACUUCACUUAGGAAAUCAAACCACUGGAGGCUUCUUCCAAAUUUGAACAUCUGAUUUUUUUUUUUAACAUCUUCAUUGGAGUAUAAUUGCUUUACAAUGGUGUGUUAGUUUCUGCUUUAUAAAAAAGUGAAUCAGUUAUACAUAUA